AAGUCGUAACAAGGUUUCCGUAGGUGAACCUGCGGAAGGAUCAUUGGGAAGAGAGGUUGAGAGUGUGUUGGAAUGCGAGAUUGAUAUCACUUUGACAAAAAUAACCUAUUACAUAUAACUAGCCACCUGGGAUCUCUGGGCUCUU
rnacentral:misc_RNA from 1 species